CAGGACCCUAAUUCCUUCCUGAGUGACAUCACUGAGGGCACUUCAAGUUCCAUUAUUCAGCUACAAAAUACUACAAAUACAAAUACAUGGAAACUUCUCCAGUUCUCCAACUUGUUCACAAGGACAGUGUGAGUUUCCUUGUCAGAGCUUUGCUGAACUCCAGAGACCAACAUAGUCAGAAAACGGAGUGAGGCCCAGGUGACCCUGGCACGGCUUCCUCACUUCCCAGCUUCAUUUGGAAGUUUCCUGACAAGCAGCAACUUGAUGGUUCACCUGAGAAUUUCGUCAAAGUUCCAGACUAAGGCAGCCAGCAGGAGCUCGUGAAGAUACCUCGCAACAGCUCUGAGAGGAAGGAAAUUGCUUCUGUUGACAGAUAAGAAACUGAGUUUCAGUGAGGAGAAAUGAUUAUUAGCCCAAGCCCCAGUGUAAGUGAUAAAGCUACAAUUUCAACCUCAGAUGGGCCUCUCAGGCUGCUGUCCCAUACCCUUGGAUCUGUGAAGAAAGAAGCGAGGGCUUCAGUGAUUUGGUCAGCACCUGGGGAGGGGACGCAGUGGUACAGCUGGCAAGUGGUACAACCGUUAAGGAAUGUCUAUGGGAGUGAGCAG
ensembl:lncRNA